rnacentral:rRNA from 2 species
UUGACCUCGGAUCAGGUAGGGAUACCCGCUGAACUUAAGCGCGGAGGAAAAGAAACCAACAGGGAUUGCCUCAGUAACGGCGAGUGAAGCGGCAAAAGCUCAAAUUUUAAAGCUGACAUCUUCGGUGUCCGCGUUGUAAUUUUGUGAGGCAUCUCCGGGUAGGGCGCUGGCCUAAGUUCCUUGGAACAGGACGUCACAGAGGGUGAGAAUCCCGUGCUUGGCUGGCUGUCCCCGUCCAUGUGAGGUGUCUUCGACGAGUCGAGUUGUUUGGGAAUGCAGCUCAAAAUGGGUGGUAAAUUUCAUCUAAAGCUAAAUAUUGGUGGGAGACCGAUAGCGCACAAGUAGAGUGAUCGAAAGAUGAAAAGCACUUUGAAAAUAGAGUUAAAAAGUACGUGAAAUUGUUGAAAGGGAAGCGCUUGAGACCAGACUUCGGUAAGGGGUGAUCAGCCGUCCUUUUGGGCGGUGCACUUGCCCCCCUCCGGGCCAGCAUCGGUUGAGGCGGCGGGAUAAAGGUCCCGGGAAUGUGGCUCCUUCACGGGAGUGUUAUAGCCCGGGUGAAUGCCGCCAGCUUCGACCGAGGACCGCACCCGC